ACUGCCACAAAAAGAGUUCCUGAGUGUGCCCUGCUUGAUCAAGUGCACCUCCAUCUGGUAUUGAAAGUAAUCAAAACAAAACACCAAAGACUGAGGAGUGUUGCCUGGGCCAUGUGACAUCAAACCAAGCAGAGAGACCCCCCUCCAGGAGGUGUUUAAGUGAGUCUGAGGAAUCAAGGUAUUCUAAUUAAACACAUAGUUUGAGAGAAGUGUAAAGUACUUGGCAGAGAAUCAGUGAAGUAGGAAAUUAAUAAGGUUCAAACCUAAUGUGAAGCCAGUCUCCUGAAUGCCAAAAACCAACAAAAUGUCUUCAGUUGUGUUCUAUUUAGUGAAACCAUGUUCAAGGGUAAAGAGAAGCAAGGGAUCCAGCUGCAGGGGCCUGUGUGGCUGUUGGCUGGGUCAGUUCUGUUGAGCAAAUGUCAGGGCAAGGCAGAGAUGAGAUGAGAUGGGAGGUUGAUGUGGUAUCAGAUCCUGCCUUCAUUUAAAAAUGUUCAUUGUGUGUUCUUUUCAACCAAUUUUAAUUUUUAAAAAUAUCUAAAUUGUAAUUUAUCUUGACUGCUCAGUUAUUUUGUGAUCCCCUCCCCAAAUUUAGUGCUCCGUGAAUUCUUUGUAGCACUCUAGUCUUAGCGUGUUAGGGAGCCUAGUAGAUAUAAGUGACAUAAAGUAGAUACAAGUGACCAUUUCAUGUAUUGAAUUGUGCCCCCUGUAUUCAUCAGCUUUCUGUUACUGUAACAAAUAUUUUUGAAACAAAUAAACUUAAAAAGAGGAAAGGUUUAUUUGGGCUCAUAGUUUCAGAGGUUUUUUUCCAUGGUCACUUGGCCUUGAUGCUGCGGGCCUAUGGAAGCAAUAGUACAUGAUGGCAGAAGUUUGAAAUUGAGGAGACCUGUUCACCUUAUGGAAGCCAGGAAGCAAAGAGAAUGCAAGCAGGUCUGGGAUCCCAACAACCCCUUCAAGAGCACACCACCCAAU
rnacentral:lncRNA from 1 species